GUACACUCCUACGGGAGGCAGCAGUGGGGAAUAUUGCACAAUGGGCGCAAGCCUGAUGCAGCCAUGCCGCGUGUAUGAAGAAGGCCUUCGGGUUGUAAAGUACUUUCAGCGGGGAGGAAGGCGAUAAGGUUAAUAACCUUGUCGAUUGACGUUACCCGCAGAAGAAGCACCGGCUAACUCCGUGCCAGCAGCCGCGGUAAUACGGAGGGUGCAAGCGUUAAUCGGAAUUACUGGGCGUAAAGCGCACGCAGGCGGUCUGUCAAGUCGGAUGUGAAAUCCCCGGGCUCAACCUGGGAACUGCAUUCGAAACUGGCAGGCUAGAGUCUUGUAGAGGGGGGUAGAAUUCCAGGUGUAGCGGUGAAAUGCGUAGAGAUCUGGAGGAAUACCGGUGGCGAAGGCGGCCCCCUGGACAAAGACUGACGCUCAGGUGCGAAAGCGUGGGGAGCAAACAGGAUUAGAAACCCCAGUAGUCCCAUG
rnacentral:rRNA from 1 species